UGUGUGGUUAUUGCAGGGCGUGUGCGGUUUGCUCCCGCCGUAAGUGGACCGAAGCAAUGAAUGCUUCUCGGGGACGGCAGGUGGUGUCGGCGGACACCUCGCGACGAUCUUGAGCUUACCGGAGCUUCACCAUCGAUUACAUCCUGAAUGAACCUGGGACGUCUCCCGCCAGUACCAACGGCAGGCAGGCAGACUUCUCCAGUCUGCAGCCGGCGUCGGAGCGGCGGCAGCCCACCGGCAGUGCUGACCUAGAAGAGUUCACCACGGCUGGAGACCAGGGUGACGCCGAGUCAACUACUGCACGUGAGCCAGCCGCCAUCCCCAACACCUGUACCAACACCGGGCAUGACCACAGGAAAAUGCACUGCAAGAUUGGCGAAGCCAGUGUACACGACUAUUCAGCAGUCGACAGUCGCCUUCUGUUGAGCAGUGCUGCCACGCCGACGUGCGUCAGCUUCGUAUUGCGCGGAUUACAAGCGGGGCCUCAGAGCCAACGAGACUGGCGUGGACCGUGGUACUUUUCAGCUUCGGCGACUCUGUCCAGCUUAGUUCGGCCCAGCCUUCUCUUUUUCCACCAGAUCAUAUUAUGGAAUGACUAGCCGCGGGAGUGUGCAGUUAACCAGGAGAAAAAUCACCAGAGGGCAUUGGAAGCGGUCUGCCGGGCCUCCUACCAGCCGCGCGUCAUCUGCCGGCGGGUGGGCCGUCUCACACGGGACGAUGCCGUCAGCCGGUGCUGUCGUGCCUCGGUGUCAGCCUAUCCGGCCGCGGUCCAGACCCCCUAUGAUCAGCUGCCGGCGCCAGCCCUGCCCUGGACGGCGUCUUACAAGACGUACUGAACACGGCGCGGGCAGAAGACGGCGCCGGCACACAACGACGCCUGCCUCAACGGCUCUCUGGACCGCUUCAAGUGCACGAUGUGUGAGAGGACGGGCUUCAUCAAUAGCGACCAACUGGCGCUCCAUAUUACGUCACGUAGUGCGGAGGCGUCGCGUCAGAGCCGCUGCGUCAUUUGUGCGGUUGGCUUCCGUGCGGCACAGCAGCGGCCGAAGCGCGUGGGAGGCUCCCAGCACAAGGGCCUUACAGUUCAUAGCGGAAUUCCUCCCAGAGAACGUACUCUACCAGCGCUGGUUGAAUUGCAAAGAACCUACUGCAGCUUCUUGGCGCCCUCGUCAGCUGUGGUGUCUACUCGCCAAGCAUUUCGGGUCGGAGCACUUCCUUCCAAAUGUUCGGCAGUAUAUAUUGUACCAGGUGUCCAUGCGGCAUGUUGUACUAGUGAUGCAGUGUACCGACAAUAUGUCAUUGACUGGCCUACUGUUCAUAAGUGACCAGCAUAAUGUCCAUAGCAUGUUGUCAUCCAGAAAAAAGUCGACAUUUACAUUGCCUACGUAAACCUAUCAUUUCUACCUGAGCAAGCGAACUCGAAGUGGCAGCAGUUACUUGGCUAGGUCAGUUACGGUGAAUCACGAAAGCAGUUACUUGGCUAGGUCAGUUACGGUGAAUCACGAAAAGCACAGACGAGUGCAUUUUGUCUACAUACCAUAAUAUAUUUAGCUUGCUUGCGAGGUAACUUACUCGACGACGAAAAAACGCGCAGCUCCACAAUGUGAUGCAAUUUCCCCCAGGGUGAGGCAAAUUGUCCCACGUAAAGGGAGGACAUUAAGAAUUAAUAUACCAAAAACCGAAGACAUGCUCUCCAAAACCUUACGGCCACGUAUGAAGCUGGGGUUAUAGCUGUCUGCAAAUAUGAUAGUCCUCGCCAGUUAUAGCAGGAGGUAACUCAGGGUAAAAACACGUAUGACCCUCCCUAGCCCCCGAAAUAAAUGUCUCUCUCCCAUUCAGGUAAAGCUAGGAAUCCGUGCCUACCUACAUAGCGGCAACUUAACGUGCGUUUCGAUUUAAUUCCUUUACGUGGCAACAUUUCGCUCAGCUCAUCUGAAGAGACUUCCAUUCAUCCAUUUCUUCACUGUCAAGCCCCUAGGAUGUUUGUUCCUGUUCGCGCAGAAGCUGCGGGUACCCACCCUAGGGGGGCACCCAGGGGUGGCGCCACCAGGGGCAAGGGGUCAGCCGCCUUCUUGUACGCCAAGAGGAAACAAACAAACAAAAAUAUAUAGGUUCUCCUUGAAAUUUAAGGAGGCUCUAACUGACCGACAGAAGGCAGCAAACGAACGGGACAUGUAUUGCGUGCUUGAACAGUCUAGAGAGUUGUGUAGGAACUAGCUCGUUCGGCGCGGCGCUAACGCAGCGGGCCCGGGCAGCCCGUGGCAGCCAGUGCGGCAGUCGCGCAGUCUGCGCGGUCGGCGGAAUGCGCUGUCCACAUGGUGCGAAUGGAAGCCCCGGAGCACUUUCCAGAAUCCGACGAAGCCACCGUUGUUUGGGUCCGGGACCUGUUUGCGUAUGCCCCAAACAACCCAUGACUGGCUAGCACACCGAACGCAAAAGCCAAGCAACCCACAUUUGGAGUUAAAUGUUCGGUUGAUUACGCAUUACGAGACAGCUCCUUCCAUACUCAUAUCUCAGUUUACCAGCUCGUUUUGGUCGGACCGUAUGCAAUGUAUGCAAUACAGAAUGCAAUGCGUGCAUGCUGUGGCACUGUGGCACCGUGUGACACAUGACACAUGGCACUAUUGUGAUUCGGCACUUCG